AAGACAGUCAUAGAUAAAGGUUUCAAAGGGCUUCGGUAUAGCACUAAGAGUGCUUAUUGGCCUAUAGUUUGCGAUAGAAGAUCUGUCUCUAGAUUUAAUAAUUAGAAUUAUAAAACUCGAUUUCCAACGAUGGUGGAAAAUUUCCUUCAAAGAUAUGGUAGGACUCCCUUAGGGCCUGGCCGCUUAUGAAUAUUAAGAACAUCAGUUUCUUAAGGACAUCAGAUAUGCUAACAUUAGUGGAGAAUAUAUAAUUAUUUUUUGCUUUGUACAACUUAUAACCUUAAAAUUAUUGUUUAUUUAUGUACUGUGAAGUGUGUGGAUGGCUUCUAAAGGCCUGAUGAUGCUCUAACUAGAGCGAAACACGUGUAGCCCGUUAAAUUACAUGUUGUG